rnacentral:misc_RNA from 1 species
GUUUUUUAACUUUCUUUUCAACAUUUGGUUACCUUCCUGAAGGUACUUGGGUUGAUAAGUUAACAAGGCAAAUAUACUACAAAGGUCUACAAUGGCCCUUGGUUAAUUUAGUUCAUACAAAUUCUAAAGGAGUUUGAAGAUGCUUUAGAAAUAUGAGCUUGCUUUGAAAAGUCAUAAUGACAUUACAGAAACCAAAAAGCUAGUAACUCCAUACUUCAGCUGUACAAGCACUUCUGCAUCAUGAAUCCCAUUCCAUAUGAAAAAGCGUACCUCCUCCCACUUCACAAAGAGUCAAGUUUGCUAUCUCUUCCUGCGCUUCAACUCCACCUUUGGCUCAACAUGGAAAGAGUUCAAGGGUCGUUUAGCAUCAUCUUCUGAUGAACAGUCAGAACACAAGAAAGGGUCUAAUUUCUUUGCUUCAUCAAUGGUCAUACCCAUACAGAUAGGAUGGAACCAGUCUUUACACCCUUCACAUUGAACCAUGAGAUCAUCUGGGUUGUAGGGCAUUUCACACUUGCAAUACACAGCAACACGAUCAGGAGUAAACCCUCCUGUGGCAGCUUUGUAGUCGAACCUACAAAAGUAAUCCUCAGGGCCCACAUUCUCCAGCUUUGUGUAGUUCUUGAAGGAGUGCACUAUGCACUUCCCUUCGAUUGUGUGUGCACUCUGAAAAUCAUAGUGAUCGGACAAGAACAGCUCUUUAGCCCCAUGGAACUGUCUGCGUCCACCAACUGACUCCUCAGGGCGGUAGUACCACUGAACUCGGACCUUCACAUUGUUGCGAUGGUCUGCCUCAAUUUUAUCUACUUUUGCCACGUAUGGGGGCUUAUCCGAAUCGGAUGGUCUCAUCAAUACACAAUCACCAACUCGUACGACUUUGUUGGUACCCUUGAUAGAGUAAGAAUCAAGGUCCUUUUUCCCUGGUUUAGUCUUUGCCAUCAAGAAUCAAGAUUCAAUUUUUUUGCUUAUCUUUUGUUGUUUUCAAGAAUUUCGACUGACCCAGUUGUGAAAUCUUCACAGAGAUGAAGAUCGCAAGCAGAGAAAUGGAAAUGCUGAGGAGAAGCAGAAACCCUAGUUGAAGAGAAUUGGGGCUACCAAAUGUAGGACAGACAGACAGAGAGAAGAAAGA